AGAACGAACGCUGGCGGCGUGUUUAAGACAUGCAAGUCGCACGGGACAAGUUGAGUAGUAAUACGAGAUUUGUUUAGUGGCGCACGGGUGAGUAACACGUGAAUUACAUGCCCUUCAGUGGGGAAUAGCCCCAGGGAAACUUGGAUUAAUACCCCAUGGUAUCGCAAGAUUAAAGGUGGCCGCAAGGCUGUCGCUGAAGGAUUGGUUCGCGCCCUAUCCAGCUUGUUGGCGGGGUAACG
rnacentral:rRNA from 1 species